rfam:Stegodyphus mimosarum contig661, whole genome shotgun sequence.
GUCCUCGUGGUGUAAUGGCCAGCACACUCGGCGCGCAUUCGAGAGGUCCAGGUUAGAAUCCCGGCGAGGGUA